UGCUCCGGUGGCGUCGGCGCCUGACCCCUGAAGAACCAGGAGGGAAAGAACCGCACCAAGCCCCACCAGGCCCCGCUGUCACCCGGCCGGGCCCACUCACUCCCCCGGGUGAACAUCACCGUCUGGACUGACUUUCGGGCCCCCGGCUCCCCUGCGCUCAGCGCCAACGGCCGCCGCGCAUAUGCCACGACGCCGCACCUCUAGACAUACGACGGCCUCCGCCGGGACUGGCAUCCCCUAUGGCGGGGGCCUGACCACCAAGGAAGAAGACAGCUUCCCG
rnacentral:ncRNA from 1 species